AAAUGAAGAAAAAGAGAAAAUUACAGGAUUUUUAGCAUUAAGUUGGAUGCAUGUUCUUGGCUUGGGACUUGAAUUUUAUUUUAGAGCUCUUCUUUAGCUUUCCGGAACAUCUUGAAUCGUCCCAAUCGGAGUUCAUAUGAAAAAGUUAUGAUAUUUUUACUAAACGGACGUUGAACCUCAAAGUUUGGAAGUUGCAAUUUACACAACAGUCACUUGGAGCCC
rnacentral:lncRNA from 1 species